rnacentral:rRNA from 1 species
GGAAUAUUGGACAAUGGAGGCAACUCUGAUCCAGCCAUGCCGCGUGCAGGAAGACGGUCCUCAGGAUUGUAAACUGCUUUUUUAAGGGAAUAAACCACCGAUCGAGCAUCGGUGCUGAAUGUACCUUAGGAAUAAGCACCGGCUAACUCCGUGCCAGCAGCCGCGGUAAUACGGAGGGUGCAAGCGUUAUCCGGAAUCAUUGGGUUUAAAGGGUGCGUAGGCGGGCAAGUAAGUCAGUGGUGAAAUCUCUCAGCUUAACUGGGAAACUGCCAUUGAAACUACAUGUCUUGAAUUUGGUUAGAGUGGGCGGAAUGUGUAGUGUAGCGGUGAAAUGCAUAGAUAUUACACAGAACACCGAUAGCGAAGGCAGCUCACUGAGCCUGAAUUGACGCUGAUGCACGAAAGCGUGGGGAGCG